CCCGCCUCUUGCCAAGUGCGCAUGCGUGCCCAUGGCGGAUUAUCGAUAUUUUCGUCGCGCAACUGGGAGGGUCAGCUGUACCGCGCAUGCGCACUAGGUCUUCACCUGUGCUUGCUUAACGUCGCAGGCGCUUUUGUGCACAGGGCUGUCGCGCCCCGUGUGCCUGCUGUCUUCAUUGCAUGUGUAACCAGGGAAACCAUCAAUUAUUUCGACAGGAGGAAACGGUCUUUUCCUAGGACACGUACACAUCCGGCGUCAAGAGUUCUCCGGGCGCAUGCAUACUGUCAUUACCCAUUGAGCAAGCGUCAUGAGUGCUUUUGGCCGCCCUGUAGUGCGCGUGCGAACUGAGUCUCCUCCGUACGCCCCGGGGCGGCUGCGACUGCGGCCGCGGCCCGAUAGCGACGAGACGGAGACAUCCCUGCCUCUCCCCCGAGUACUGCUGCGGCCUGAGUGGAGCGGAGAGUGUGGAGCCCAGCUUCCCCUCUCUCAUGGGUUGCACAGCUGGAUUGGUCGGGACCAAGGACCGCAACUCCACGCUGCCACCCUUGCUGGCUGGUGGGCAGGGGGCUCCUUGCAAAACUGCGGUGCAGGGCUCGCAGCAAUGCCAAUGAUGUUCCCCACCCUGGACUGCCCUGCCAUGCUGGGUGUGCCCUGCUGGGCCAGAGAGGGCCCCAGGAGAAGCCAGCAGUCUGGGAAGAUACAGCAUGCUGUGGGCAGCUUGCCACCACCCUACGUGCAAAUCUGGAGGGCAUGUGCCCCCAUUUCUCCCUGGUAGUGUGUGCAGUGGCGAGGAGUCAGGCCCCCGGCCACUCCCACUCCGCUCUCGCGCCCUUCCUUUAUUUGCUGGCCAAGUUAGUUGUCAUAUCUGCAAGGGUUCAUGCGUUCAGUGAGAAGAAGGCUUUGAGCUUUCUGCUUAGCAGCACUUCUGCAGCUUAGUCUAGGUGCCUUGAAAAUGGCCGAGGCUGGGAGCAGGAUCCUGUUACUGUCAUCCGUGUUGUGGUUAACAGUGUGAGCGUUUUACAUCGUGUGAAAGUGUCUGAUGUGGAUCCGCCCUUUCUCACAGGCUAGUCCUUGUGCAACUGUCCUUGGCACCAGGUUAUUGGUGAAGAGGUUCAGUGUGACAAUGGGCUCCAAAAUGCCUGGGGUGGAAGGGCCCCCGACAGUUGACACGUCUGCAAAGGGUCUCUGUGCUGGCUGUAGAGAAACAGGGUUAUGGGGCCUGCGCUAAUCUCUUGAAAAGAUCCGAGCCAACCCUGGCAGCAAGUGAGUGCGUGUUUCUGCCUUGGACACCCUCGUGGAACACAACGUGCCACUAGUUGCCUUGGUUUCUCACUGGAUGCACAUUGUUUGCUUGCACAUGUCCAAAGGUACCACCUGCAGUGACUGCCGCUCUUGCCUCUGAACUACUAGGGCACCUUGCAAAAGCAAUGGCCUGCCCCUGGGCUAGGCUGAUAUUAGUGGCCCAGACCCAGAGACUUCCUGUUGUUUCCUGCUGUGCCUGGAUUAGGUGUUGAGCACUUGGACCUCUUCCAGCAUCAGCACGUAUUAGCCUCUCAUUCUCCUGUGGCCAACACCAGAGGGCAUAUGACCAUACUGUCUCUGUCAGCCUCUGUCUCAGCCUUCCUAUGAUGGCUCCCAUGAAAACCCUUGUCCCAUCACAAUGUGCAGUGGGGCUGCAACAGUAUUUCCUAGCUGCAACGAGAAUUGUGAGGUGGGUGGGAAAGAGCCUUCGUUGCCUGCACGCUCCUUCAUUUUUUCAGCUUAGAGCUGCUUGGCUGUCCCAGUGCUCCUUUUCUGUUCUCCUCUGUAUAUGCUGCCCCUACGUAGCCCUCCUGUCUCCUGUGUAUGCUGGGAGAUGGUGUAUGAGGGUGUACAUAGGCCUCCAGUCAGAACUAUUUACUUACGGAGUUAAGCUGAAACCCCUCUACAGAGCAUCAUGCGAAGUGCCUACACAUCUGCAGCAGUGGAAGGCGAAUGGGGUAAGGGUUAGAGGUGAGGGGAUGGCUCUGUGUUGCCCUCCGUGAGAUCCCAGGGAAACACUUUGUUGCGGGCGGUCGAGUGGGUCACAGUACAACCAUUCUUCCGUGCCUGAGCUUUAGCCCAUGAGGUUUGGGUGCAGGUUUCCCCCUGGGUGACAUGACACCGCCUAUACAGGCGCAGUCACUUGAGCACAGAACCAGGGGGAACUGUAUGGUAUGGUUGGGUUUGAAAUGGAAAGGAGCAGGGACCAGGAUGCACUGGUCCGAGUUGGGUUACAAACCAGUGAGGGGUUUCAUACAUGUCUGGGGCAGGGCACUGGGGGUCCCUGUGCUUCUGGCUUGUGGGGGAGGAGCCUGGUGCUGGGGGUGCCCCUUGCUGCUGCCCCCGCAGCCCGUGCUAGUUAGAUGCUUUAACGCCCUUGACUCCCAGCUCUUCGUCUCCGCUUGUCUUAUGAUGCUGACCCGCAGCCCCCGCUCCCCGUUCAUGUCCCCACGGAAAAGGUCGGUCCCGCGUGCGGCUCCCGCCAGCGAUCACCACAGGAGCCGGGGCUGGGGGCGCGUCCUGAAGCGCGCGGCAGGGCCGGCAUCAGAGGCGCGUGUUCCCGUUGGCCGCCUUGAGGAGAGCCGCGAUUGGGUGGAAGAGCUGUAUGGGCGGGGUCUCGGAGACUCCGCCCUUCCUCGCUUUGAUUGGCUUUUGCCGGUGGAGGCGGGUCCAGGAGGAAGUCUCGUUCUCCGCAGUCUGAUUGGCUGUUGGGUUUGGUAGGAGGAGUAGGCCCAACUGCGUGCUGGUUGGUCCGACUGAUCUUCAGCAGCUCGGUUUGCGCUGGCAGGGCGCGGCGUGGGCUGUGCGGGGCCGGGGGUCCUUGUUUUAACAUAAGUACCAUGUUGAGCCCGGUGCGGGGGAGCGAAGAAUUGCCGGUAUUAUUCGUAUUCUACGUCCUUGUCAUGACAGAAAUGCGUGGAGGUGGGAUGCGUGUGCAGAUGUGUAUACAGUGCGUGUGCUGCGUGUAGAAUAGAUGCGGGAGCCCCGCGGCAGCACUGAGCGGUUCCUCCCUCCCCGCCGUUGCGUCCCGGCUCCGCGCCCGGCUGCAGGGACAGGAGGACACGUGGAGCCGCUUCUGUCCCUGUCCUUGUCCGCUCGCUGUAAUGCCCGGCGUGACCACAGGAGAGCAGCACUGAGCCGUCCUCAGGAGCCGUCCGCGUCCCCCUCCCACUCUCCCCCCCCCCUCCCCGCUGCAGUGCGCGGCGUGAGCCGCCGGGGGCAGCACGGAGCGCGCUCUCCUUCGAACCGUGGUGCGGCGCCGGGGGGACCUCGGUUUUGUGACCCACGUGGGAGCGGGGCACGUGCGGGGUGCGCGGUGCCGCAGCCCGGGAGCUUCAGAGCUGGUGCUGGCGGGACGCUGCCCCGCGCCGCCUGCCUCUGGUCCCGCUGCUCGUCGCCGCUGUCCUGGGGCGCCCGGCCCGGCGUCGUUCCGCAGCGGCGGGGGCAGGACCCGGGGGUGUCUGUGGGGGAUGUGUCCUGUGUGGAAACGUGAGUUGGGAACCUUUUUCUGGCAGUGCGGUGAUUUUGUGGGUGGGAAGUUGGUCAUUUAGUGUGGUGAUUUGGGGCGUUUCUGUGGAAAUGUUUGGGGAAAUCUGGGGAUUUGAGACCUUUUUUCUGGAUGUAUGUGGAAAUGUGUGUUUUGCUGUGUGAAACUGGGAAUUGUGUGUGAAGAUAGCUCCUUUCCCUGAAAACACAGUGGCUCUGUAUUUAAAACUGGUUACUCUAGGAGUAGUUUGUAGAAAUGUGUUUAGAGAUAUGGUGUGGUAAUUUUAGGGUGAGUUGGGAGGGUUUUUAGGGGACUGGUUUGUUGUGGGAUGUGUGGAAAAUUGCGUGGCAAUUGGGCAAGCAUAUGGAAAUAUGUGGUCAGGUUGUGUCAGGGAAAUUUUCUGGGGAUUUGGAAACCCUUUUUGUAGGAAUGUGUAUAGAUAAGUGAUGAUAUUUGUGUAGUGAUUUGGGUACCCUUAAUGGAAAUGUGCUGGGUCGGCCCAUGGUGGUCGUCUUAUCCACUGCGGUGCGGUUAACAGCGUGUGCGUUUUCACUCGUGUGAAACGGUCUAACAUGGGCGUGCCCUUUCUCUGAGGCUCUCCUCAUGCACCUGUCCUUGGCACCAGCAUAUCAGUGGUGAGCUGCAGUGUGACAAAUGUUACUUGGGGCAGAAGGGCCCCCAGGAGCUGUCAUGUCUGCAAGGGUCAUUCUGGGUACUGAGACGGGUGUGGCGGUCUCUUGGAAAUAGCCAAAGCACCACAGGUGAGUACGUGUUCCUGCUUUGACACGCCAAGCGGACAGAACGCACCAGCAGUUGCCUAGGCUUCUGCCUGGAGGCACGUCAUUCACGUGCCCUGCUCCAACGGGAACACCUCCACUGACUGCAGCUCUUGCCUCUAACUGCUGGUAGCACCCUCAAAAAGCAAUGGCUUGCCCCUUGACUUGCAGAAUACUAGGGGCCCAGACCCCACAGACUUUGUAUUCUCUUCCCCUGUGCCUGGGGGAGGUGUUGAGCCCUUUGAUCUCUGCAGUCUUCAGCACUUGUUAGCCACUCCUCCUUAUGUGCGCAACACCCAGCCCCUGUGACCUUGUCCUACCUGACAGCCUCUGUCAGCCUCUCCUAGUCUCAUCCUUCCUUGGAAGGCUUCCCAUAAAAUCCCGUCUUCUGUCCCAGCGUGCAGCAGGCCUGCACCAAUGUUUUCCAGCUUGCUUUAGAGAGCUGUAGGGUGGGGGUGGUGCUUCCUUGCCCCCUGCUGUUUGCUUCUGUCAGCUUUAAGGUGUUUAUGUAUUUCAGUUUUCCUUUUCUCCCCUCCUCUGUGCUGCCUGUGUCUUGCGCAUAUGGAGGACGUUGGUGUAAGGCAGGGGCCGGCAGCUCUUUGGGCCUGUGGGCCACAGAGGCGGUACUGGGGAGGUGAAGCGGGCCGGUCAGCGGUGCCGAUCCUGAAUAGCCCAGAUCCCGCGUGCCCUACGGCUCCUCCCCGUACCGCCAACAGUGCCCAGCCUAAGCCCCGACCCCCAGCUCACCCUGCACCUUCUCUGGACUCCCUGGACAAAGUUGACCAGAUGGAACCUGUGUGCAUAACCCUGGCCCGCUGUGCCCCUGCUCCAGACAACCUGUGCACACUGAGCAGCAGCAGUAGCUGUUGCUUGACACGGCGGAAACAUGACUUCUCCUCGUCACGGUGGCCAGUCCCUUCUUCCUGCAGCUGUGCAGAGUCUACAUGUGGCCUGCCCUGGGGCUUGUCUCCACUGCCAUCGCUGCUGCUUCCAGGCCGUGCAGCAGGUCCAUGGAGGCUGUGCAAAGGAACUGUAGGGCAGUCCAGCCUCAGGCUCGUAGUGGUUGCAGCCAGAAGAGCCUGGUAGCUGUGAAGGGUGUGGGGCCACUUGUCCCUUGUGCCGAGCAUGAUCUUCUGUUCACCUCCAGCAGCUAUGGCCGCUGCUCAGCGUGGGUGGGCAUGUGUAGAGGAGGUGCAGUGCAGUUUGGGUUUUGGGCUGUGUGCACGGGUUCUGGCUGGGCUGGUGCUCGUCCACUCUGCCGGGCCUAGUCCUGAGCGGGCGCUGGCUGGAUGGAGUUGGAGCUGUGCGUGUGGGUCCCUGCCAGUAGCUUGGUUUUGGGGCAGUGGCGGGAGAAACUAGAAGCAGCUGUCUUUUCCUGUACAGCCUGGAAAGGCAGUCCAGGCGCACCCCGCUGCAUGCCCGGAGGCAGUGGGAUGCACUAGAGGCUAGACAAUGAUUGGGCAAGACAGGAUUGAUGUACCUGCCAAGGGGCAGACUGAGUCCCUCCAUGGGCCACAUCUGCCCAUGCUACUCAUGGUGUUUCAUAUGGAACAGGUUUUAGGAGCAGAGUAUCUGGAAGGAGGACUACUGUUGAAAAACUGUCUCCCUGCAGCUGUCUCCCCACAUGGAUUUGUGGUGCUGAGCAGCCAUAAUACGCUCAUGCCCUGCCUGUGGCAUGUUCCCUCCCUCCCAAGCUACACCCCCCUCAAGGCCAGUGCCCCUCACUCCCCUUUUCUGUGCUGAUGCUGAAACCUGUCUAGAGAGCAGCUUGCAAAGCACCAAAUUUUCAUUUUUUAAGCAGAAAAAGAAAUGAAAAAACCUGUUGUUGUUCAGGAAGCACCGCAGGACAUCAAUUCAACUUCAGGGGAGUUUGAGAUGUUUGGAAUACAGAUUUUCACCUGUGCAGGAGGGAGGAGGAGGCUAACAACAGGUUGCCUCCACUUUGCAAAGGUCUUUUAAAGCUUUCCUCUGUUCACAUCUAAUGUUUACGUGUGGUUUUUGCUUUGUUUUUUAAAUGGAUAUUCCGAUACGUGUCAAGCAGAUUGGUGUCACUGGAAGUUUGGGAACGGGAGUGAAUCCGUUUUCCCGUGGACUUGGGAGAUGCCAAUGAGCUGGGGCCUGUGUCCCUGGAAAAAAUACAACUCUGGAAGGGAAGAGCAUUGCUCAUGUCUUUCCCUGCCCACCUGGGAAUGCUGCUUGCCCUGUUUUGUUUCUUUUACUCUGCUGUCUAGACCUAUUUUAAUUUACAAAGGUUCACAAAACCACAAAUUAGUUGGUGUUUUAAGCUGCUUUUUCCCACCUUUUCAGGAAGUAGUUACUCAUCUUUGGUCUCACCUGGUAUUGAAGGCUGGAGAAACAGAUUCUUAUUGUACUUUCUCAGGCCAUUGCUUGUGAUGUAAAUGCAGGCUUAUUACUUGUUAACUGUUUCAAACAGCAUGUUCAUCUAACACAGGAGGUAUAUGGUCCCACUAGGGACCUCUUACUGGACUUGGUGCUGGCUACAGGGGAUGACCUGGUAGGGAAUUGACUGACACAAGGUAACCUAGGGGACAGUGACCAUCCAUUGAUUGGAUUCACUAUCUGGCACAGGGUGGGAAAGAUAACCAGUAGGGUAGGAGUGCUAGACUUCAGUGUGGUCAGGAGAUUAGUUAGUGAGGCGCUGAAGGACAAGAGCACUGGUGAGAUGGGAGUCCAGGAAGGGCAGUUGUUCCUAAAGGGAGCAAUUCUACAGGUGUAGAAGAAGAUGAUCCCGUUGCACAGGAGAGGGGAAAAAGGGGCCAAGAAACCCUCUUGGCUGAACAGCAAAAUGCAGGAAAACCUAGGGGCAGUGAGCACAUAUUCAUAGCAGGUAGAUCCUGCCUGACUAACCUUGUUUCUUUUUAUGACCAGGUCACAAAAUGCUUACACACAGGAAUUGAGGUAGAUGUCAUCUACUUGCAUUUUAAGAAGGCCUUCAAUAUGGUAUCUCAUUCUAAUGUCAUUAAUAAACUGAGCCGCUGUCACGUAGAUGAUUACACGAUCAGGUGGGUGGCAAAAUGGCUCAGCGUCAUACCCAGAGAAUGGUGGUGGAUGGGUCGGUGUCAACCUGGAAAGAUGUGGACAGUGGAGUCUGACAAGGCUCGGUCCUUGGACCUGUGCUGUUUAAUGUCUUCAUCAGUCACUUGGAUGAGGGCGUGGAAAGCACUCUGUCCAAAUAUGCAGAUGAUACCAAAUUUAUGGGUAACGUUAACAUGCUAAAGCAGAGGUCCUCAAACUGUGGUCUCUGGACCAGCACUGGUCCACAAGCUCCAUGUAGGUGGUCCUCAGAAAGGUUGCAGAACAAUUGAGAAUCUCUGCAUUUGGCCCCGCAGUUGAUUAAUUUUUUUUCUGGUGACGGAGAUUAAGCGGUCCGCUGAGACCCUCGGCAAUUUUCAAGCGGUCCACGCAAAACAAAGUUUGAGAGCCAGUGCACUAGAGGGUUGGGACCAAAUCUGUGGGGACCUGGACAGGUUGGAAAAUGGGCAGACCAGAAUAGGAUGCAGUUGAACAAAGACAAGUGCAAAGUGCUGCACCUAGGGAGAAGGAAUCACCGGCACGCUUACAGGCUGCGGGAGGGCUUUCUCAGCAUCAGAGCAGCGGAAAGGGAUCUCGGAGCCAGCAUCGACACCGAGAUGAGCGUGAGUUGUCAACGUGACAAAGCGAUUGGUAAAGCUAACCGCACUUUAUCGUGUGUUUGCAGGUGCAGGACAAACAGGUCCAGGGAGGUGAUACUUACCCUCUAUGCGACAUUGGUCAAGCUGCAGUCGGAGUACUCUGCCUGGUUUUGGAUGCCACACUUCAAGAGGGAUGUGGACAACCUUGUGAGGGUUCAGAGGAGGGCAAAAGCUAGUCCUUGCGCUCCUGUCCUUGGAACCAGCUUAUCGGUGAGGAGGCGCAGCGAGACAUUCGACACCAAAAGGCCCGGAGUAGAAGGGCCCCCAACAUGUGUCGCAUCUGCAACGGGUCCCUGCGUGAGCUACUGAGAAACGAGCGUUUGGGGCCCGCACCGGUCUCUCGGAAACAUCCGAGCCAGCCCUGGCAGCAGGUGCCUGUGCGUUCCUGCCUUGGACACGGUCAGGGAACGCAAUGCGCCAGCAGUUGCCUCGGCUUCUGACCGCACGCACGUCGUUUGCUUGCAAGCAUCCAAAGCUAGCACCUCCAGCGGCUGCAGCUGUUGCUUCCCAACUACUAGGAGAGCCUUGCAAAAGCAAUGGCCUGCCCCUGGGCCAGGCUGAUACCAGUGGCUCAGACCCAGAGACUUGCUGUUGUACCUCCCGGUGUCUGGAUUAGGUGUCGAGCACUUGGAACUCUGGCAGCUUCAGCACAUAUUAACCUCUCGUCCUCCUGUGGCCAACACCACGGAGCCCGUGACCCUAAUGUUUCUGUCAGCCUCUGUCUCACCCUUCCCCUGAAGGCCUCCCGUGAAAUCCCUUGUCCCAUCCCAGUCUGCAGGUUGGCUCCACCGGUAUUUCCCAGCUGCAUGUGGAGAGUUGUGAGGGAGGUGGGGAAGAGUUUUAUGCCUCCGUACUCUACUUGUUUCAGCCUGAAGCUGUUUGUUUGUCUCAGGGCCUUUUUUUCCCCUCUCUCCUCCUCUGUCUGUGCUUCUGCUGCGUAGCCACACUGCCUCCUGUGUAUGUGGGAAGGUGAUGUAAGGGGGUGCACAGUUGCCCUUAGGAAGGAGCAAUUUUUCUAUGGAGUUAAGCUGAAACUGCUGUACAGAACGCCUUGCAAAGUGCCUCCAGGUCUGCAGCGGUAGAAGGUGUAUGGGGUAAGGCACAGAGGUGAGGGAAUCACACUGUGUUGCCCUCUGUGAGCUUCCUGGGAAACACUUGGGGCGGGGUGCGGUUCAUGUAGGUGGCAGGGCAGUGCAACCAUUUUUCUUCCAUGCCCAUGGGGUGUGGGUGCAGGUUUCCCCCUGGGUGACAUGACACUGCCUGUGCAGGCCCAGUCACCUGAGCGUAGAGCCAGGGGGGGACUUUAUGGUAUUGUUGGGUUUGAACUACAAAGGAGCAGGGACCAGGAUGCACGGGUGCCAGAGAUGUGUUCCAGACCAGGUGAGGGGUGCAUGCAGGUCUGUGGCAGCGUCCUAGUGCAGGGCAGGGCACUGGGGGGUCCCUGUGCUUCUGGCUAGUGCGGGAGGAGCCUGGUGCUGGGGGUGCUCUGUGCUGCUGCUCACCAGCCCGUGCUUGUGAGAUGCUUUGGUGCCCCUGACUCCCAGCCCGCAGCCUCUGCUUGUCUUCUGUUGCCCUCACUCCUGACCCGCAGCCUUGUCCCCACGGAAAAGAUCAGUCCCAAAUGCAACUCAGGUGGGUGAACAGGUGAUCCAGGGCUGGGUUUGGUGGGGGAGCGGGGGCAACACGUCCCCUAAGUGCACGGUGGCAUGCGGUUGUGUCCCUCACUGGUGCUGCGUGGGCUGGGGAUGUGGUCCCACUGUUCCCGAAAGCAAUGGGUUGCACCUGCUGGGCUGCAGAGGCCCCGGGGCGAGGGCAGUAGGGAGGGAGCCCGAGUCUACAGUGGGCAACCUGCCCCUGCCUUGCACACAGGAUUGUGGGCACGGGUUCCUGCUGCUCCUCGGGAAUGCGCACAGCUGUGGGGUGUCUCGGACGGCCAGAGCCGACUCGAGGUGAUCUAAUAAUUACUCGUUCGUUGGGCGGGCUGGUGAAUAGAGAGGCUGACAAAGCUUAA